rnacentral:snoRNA from 14 species
ACCCACGUUUUCCCUUUUCUGUCUGAUGGAGUCGCUGGUCUUGGUAGUUGUAAAUGGGGAAGAUCACACCUGCUGUCCUCGCUGAGAUGCAGUCUGGUAUAGAGCUUGUGGGCCAGAAUCCAACGGGC